GUUGACCUCGGAUCAGGUAGGAAUACCCGCUGAACUUAAGCAUAUCAAUAAGCGGAGGAAAAGAAACCAACAGGGAUUGCCCCAGUAACGGCGAGUGAAGCGGCAACAGCUCAAAUUUGAAAUCUGGCCCCCUCCGCGGGGGUCCGAGUUGUAAUUUGCAGAGGAUGCUUCUGGCGCGGCGCCUUCCGAGUUCCCUGGAACGGGACGCCACAGAGGGUGAGAGCCCCGUCCGGUCGGACGCCCAGCCUAUGUGAAGCACCUUCGACGAGUCGGGUAGUUUGGGAAUGCUGCCCUAAAUGGGAGGUAUAUGUCUUCUAAAGCUAAAUACCGGCCAGAGACCGAUAGCGCACAAGUAGAGUGAUCGAAAGAUGAAAAGCACUUUGAAAAGAGGGUUAAACAGUACGUGAAAUUGUUGAAAGGGAAGCGCUCAUGACCAGACUUGGGCCCGGGGGAUCACCCGGCGUUCUUUCGCCGGGGCACUUCGCCGGCUGCCCAGGCCAGCAUCAGUUCGCGGCGGGGGACAAAGGCUUCGGGAACGUGGCUCCCUACGGGGAGUGUUAUAGCCCGCUGCGCAAUGCCCUGCCGCGGACUGAGGUUCGCGCUUCCGCAAGGAUGCUGGCGUAAUGGUCAUCAGCGACCCGUCUUGAAACACGGACCAAGGAGUCGUCUUCGUAUGCGAGUGUUCGGGUGUCAAACCCCUACGCGGAAUGAAAGUGAACGCAGGUGAGAGCUUCGGCGCAUCACCGACCGAUCCUGAUGUUCUCGGAUGGAUUUGAGUAAGAGCAUACGGGGCCGGACCCGAAAGAAGGUGAACUAUGCCUGUAUAGGGUGAAGCCAGAGGAAACUCUGGUGGAGGCUCGCAGCGGUUCUGACGUGCAAAUCGAUCGUCAAAUAUGGGCAUGGGGGCGAAAGACUAAUCGAACCUUCUAGUAGCUGGUUUCCGCCGAAGUUUCCCUCAGGAUAGCAGUGUUGAG
rnacentral:rRNA from 1 species